rnacentral:tRNA from 1 species
GCUUCGGUAGCUCAGUGGCAGAGCACGAGGGAUAGCACAGAUACCAGAGGACGGAACAGACCGGCCAUGGCUUCCAUGAUUCUUUGAAUGCCCGUGAUAAGAGAUAGUGCAUCCCACACAAAACGCUGGUUCGACUCCAGCCCGAAGCA